GAGAGCUCAUCCUAACCUCCAGUGCUGGGAUUUCACAAAAUGAAAAUACCUUAAAUAUGCAACAGUGUUAGCAAAUGAACAGCAACAGAGAAAAAUCAUUUCUUCCCCUUUUUUGUCUCCAUCUUCAAACUUUAAUUUAAAACAACUAUUUUUACAUAAACUACAAAGUCACAGCCAGCAGCAUGUGCAGCAGAGACAGAUAGCCUGAGGUUGCCCAGGGACUUUUCAUUUUAUCUUUGCGCAGACCUAGCACUGCCUGCCAGGUAAAACUAGUGUAACGAGGGCUCCGGCGUCUCUACCACGCGUCAGCCCUGCCGAGGCCAAGAUGAGCACGCUGAUAACGCGGGCUGCCUGACAGCCAGGGGAGAUUCUGUAAAUCAUGCUGCUCCCAUUGAUUACAGUCGGGAAGAGCAUUAACCCUCCUUCACCCCGAGAUACGCUGUCUCCACAAGUGUUUGUAACAUCAACAUGUUACGGGAGCUUUUGGAAGAUGAAUUCAUUGCUAGAGAGAAGACCCCUUCGCAAAAUAAAGAAAUGCCAACAAGCCUGAG
rnacentral:sRNA from 1 species